ACGAAGGUGGCUAGCGUUGUUCGGUGUCACUGGGCUUAAAGCGCUCGUAGGCGGAACCGUAAGUGUCUUGUGAAAUCCCCCGGCUCAACCGGGGAAUGGCUAGGCAUACUGCGGUUCUUGAGGCAAACAGGGGUGCAUGGAACUCUUGGUGGAGCGGUGGAAUGCGUAGAUAUCAAGAGGAACGCCGAUGGUGAAGACAAUGCACUGGGUUUGUCCUGACGCUGAGGAGCGAAAGCGUGGGGAGCAAACAGGAUUAGAUACCCUGGUAGUCCACGCCCUAAACGAUGUUUACUAGGUUGUAGAGGAUCUGACGCCUUUACAGUCGGAGCAAAAGUGUUAAGUAAACCGCCUGGGGAGUACGGUCGCAAGGCUA
rnacentral:rRNA from 1 species